AUGACUGUGGUGAGAGUUAUGAGUCUUUCUCUGCUGUUUUUCUGCACCCGCUACGGUCAUCGUUGUUCUUUCCUUAAAAUGUUCCUAACAAGUUUCACAGCCCGGCUGGACCACCUGGCAAAGCUGUGGGCUGCAAGUGGAGCCAACCAGCUGCGUGUUCAUGCCCAGAGUUUGGCGUGUAACAGCCUUGUGAUUCAGUGCCUCUCAGCAGACCGGAGUUCCAAUGCGACAAACAGUUGUGCCCUGAGAGUAGCUCUGCACACUGCAUUUGUUGUAGCUGACAGUGCGUGA
rnacentral:lncRNA from 1 species